rnacentral:rRNA from 1 species
AGUGAACGCUGGCGGUAGGCCUAACACAUGCAAGUCGAACGGCAGCACAGUAAGAGCUUGCUCUUACGGGUGGCGAGUGGCGGACGGGUGAGGAAUACAUCGGAAUCUACUUUUUCGUGGGGGAUAACGUAGGGAAACUUACGCUAAUACCGCAUACGACCUACGGGUGAAAGCAGGGGAACUUCGGACCUUGCGCGAUUGAAUGAGCCUAUGUCGGAUUAGCUAGUUGGCGGGGUAAAGGCCCACCAAGGCGACGAUCCGUAGCUGGUCUGAGAGGAUGGUCAGCCACACUGGAACUGAGACACGGUCCAGACUCCUACGGGAGGCAGCAGUGGGGAAUAUUGGACAAUGGGCGCAAGCCUGAUCCAGCCAUACCGCGUGGGUGAAGAAGGCCUUCGGGUUGUAAAGCCCUUUUGUUGGGAAAGAAAAGCAGCAGGUUAAUACCCCGCUGUUCUGACGGUACCCAAAGAAUAAGCACCGGCUAACUUCGUG